UACGAAGGGUGCAAGCGUUACUCGGAAUUACUGGGCGUAAAGCGUGCGUAGGUGGUUCGUUAAGUCUGUCGUGAAAGCCCCGGGCUCAACCUGGGAAUGGCGAUGGAUACUGGCGGGCUAGAGUGCGGUAGAGGAGAGUGGAAUUCCCGGUGUAGCAGUGAAAUGCGUAGAGAUCGGGAGGAACAUCAGUUGCGAAGGCGGCUCUCUGGACCAGCACGGACACUGAGGCACGAAAGCGUGGGGAGCAAACAGG
rnacentral:rRNA from 1 species